rnacentral:misc_RNA from 1 species
UUCGAUACCAAGAGCUGGUGUCUGAGGGAUUACGACUCGCGUGGUCGGACAGCACAUGUUAGUCAUGUAUUAUGGUGUUUCCCAACACGUAUCUUUGCUCUAGUAUUGAACUUUAGUGAUGAGUGUACUUGGCAUGUACACCUGAUUAGUUAGCCCUUGUGGAUACGCCACUGCCGCUCAGGUACAGUAGGACAUACCCCAAAUAUUGGGUUUUUUUUUUAGAGAAGAAAAUUAGUGGCGAAACGUACGGUUUAUGUCAAAGGAGAAGGUGAUUUUAAUUGCACCUGAAGCAACCCUAGGUCUUCCCUUUGAUGUGAGCUAAUAAGGAGUAACCGAUUCUUACAAUGUGAUCAUGUCUUUUCAACAAACAAAGGAUC